CCUACGGGGCGCACCAGUAGGGAAUCUUCGGCAAUGGACGAAAGUCUGACCGAGCAACGCCGCGUGAGUGAAGAAGGUUUUCGGAUCGUAAAACUCUGUUGGUAGAGAAGAACGUUGGUGAGAGUGGAAAGCUCAUCAAGUGACGGUAACUACCCAGAAAGGGACGGCUAACUACGUGCCAGCAGCCGCGGUAAUACGUAGGUCCCGAGCGUUGUCCGGAUUUAUUGGGCGUAAAGCGAGCGCAGGUGGUUUAUUAAGUCUGGUGUAAAAGGCAGUGGCUCAACCAUUGUAUGCAUUGGAAACUGGUAGACUUGAGUGCAGGAGAGGAGAUUGGAAUUCCAUGUGUAGCGGUGAAAUGCGUAGAUAUAUGGAGGAACACCGGUGGCGAAAGCGGCUCUCUG
rnacentral:rRNA from 1 species